AUUGAACGCUGGCGGCAGGCUUUACACAUGCAAGUCGAGCGAGCGGCGGACGGGUGAGUAAUGUCUGGGAAACUGCCCGAUGGAGGGGGAUAACUCCUGGAAACGGUAGCUAAUACCGCAUACCAUCAGAUCUGCCCAGAUUGGAUUAGCUAGUUGGUGGGGUAAUGGCUCACCUAGGCGACGAUCCCUAGCUGGUUUGAGAGGACGACCAGCCACACUGGAACUGAGACACGGGCCAGACUCCUACGGGAGGCAGCAGGGGGGAAUAUUGGACAAUGGGGGCAAGCCUGAUGCAGCCAUGCCGCGUGUGUGAUGAAGGCCUUCGGGUUGUAAAGUACUUUUAGCAGUGAAGCGUUAUUCGCAUAAGAAGCACCGGCUAACUACGUGCCAGCAGCCGCGGGAAUAC
rnacentral:rRNA from 1 species